GGUUAAGCGACUAAGCGUACACGGUGGAUGCCCUGGCAGUCAGAGGCGAUGAAGGACGUGCUAAUCUGCGAUAAGCGUCGGUAAGGUGAUAUGAACCGUUAUAACCGGCGAUUUCCGAAUGGGGAAACCCAGUGUGUUUCGACACACUAUCAUUAACUGAAUCCAUAGGUUAAUGAGGCGAACCGGGGGAACUGAAACAUCUAAGUACCCCGAGGAAAAGAAAUCAACCGAGAUUCCCCCAGUAGCGGCGAGCGAACGGGGAGGAGCCCAGAGCCUGAAUCAGUGUGUGUGUUAGUGGAAGCGUCUGGAAAGGCGCGCGAUACAGGGUGACAGCCCCGUACACAAAAAUGCACAUGCUGUGAGCUCGAUGAGUAGGGCGGGACACGUGGUAUCCUGUCUGAAUAUGGGGGGACCAUCCUCCAAGGCUAAAUACUCCUGACUGACCGAUAGUGAACCAGUACCGUGAGGGAAAGGCGAAAAGAACCCCGGCGAGGGGAGUGAAAAAGAACCUGAAACCGUGUACGUACAAGCAGUGGGAGCCUCUUUUAUGGGGUGACUGCGUACCUUUUGUAUAAUGGGUCAGCGACUUAUAUUCUGUAGCAAGGUUAACCGAAUAGGGGAGCCGAAGGGAAACCGAGUCUUAACUGGGCGUUAAGUUGCAGGGUAUAGACCCGAAACCCGGUGAUCUAGCCAUGGGCAGGUUGAAGGUUGGGUAACACUAACUGGAGGACCGAACCGACUAAUGUUGAAAAAUUAGCGGAUGACUUGUGGCUGGGGGUGAAAGGCCAAUCAAACCGGGAGAUAGCUGGUUCUCCCCGAAAGCUAUUUAGGUAGCGCCUCGUGAAUUCAUCUCCGGGGGUAGAGCACUGUUUCGGCAAGGGGGUCAUCCCGACUUACCAACCCGAUGCAAACUGCGAAUACCGGAGAAUGUUAUCACGGGAGACACACGGCGGGUGCUAACGUCCGUCGUGAAGAGGGAAACAACCCAGACCGCCAGCUAAGGUCCCAAAGUCAUGGUUAAGUGGGAAACGAUGUGGGAAGGCCCAGACAGCCAGGAUGUUGGCUUAGAAGCAGCCAUCAUUUAAAGAAAGCGUAAUAGCUCACUGGUCGAGUCGGCCUGCGCGGAAGAUGUAACGGGGCUAAACCAUGCACCGAAGCUGCGGCAGCGACGCUUAUGCGUUGUUGGGUA
rnacentral:rRNA from 1 species